rnacentral:rRNA from 1 species
GAUGAACGCUGGCGGCGUGCCUAAUACAUGCAAGUCGAGCGAACGGACGAGAAGCUUGCUUCUCUGAUGUUAGCGGCGGACGGGUGAGUAACACGUGGAUAACCUACCUAUAAGACUGGGAUAACUUCGGGAAACCGGAGCUAAUACCGGAUAAUAUUUUGAACCGCAUGGUUCAAAAGUGAAAGACGGUCUUGCUGUCACUUAUAGAUGGUUCCGCGCUGCAUUAGCUAGUUGGUAAGGUAACGGCUUACCAAGGCAACGAUGCAUAGCCGACCGGAGAGGGGGAUCGGCCACACGAGAACUGAGACACGCUCCAGACGCCUACGGGAGGCAGCAGUAGGGAAUCUUCCGCAAUGGGCGAAAGCCUGACGGAGCGACGCCGCGUGAGUGAUGAAGGUCUUCGGAGCGUAAAACUCUGUUAUGAGGGAAAAACAUAUGUGUAAGUAACUGUGCACAUCGUGACGGUACCUAGUCAGAAAGCCACGGCUAACUACGUG